rnacentral:lncRNA from 1 species
UAGUGACCUUCGGGUGUCUGCAAGGUAACCAGGCAAGCAUUCUGACCCUCACGUCAGAGGCGCCAUCUGCAUGGCCGCUACCCUGCUGUUCCGUGUGACCUCUGAGACACACUCAGCCACCAAGCUACUUAUUUAAAUGCCUUGAAAAGAAUGAACAGGAGCUGACGCAGAGAGAAACUGACUGAAGAGCAGCCUUGCUACAAAAGCUGGGGGGCUGUCAGAAAAGGCCCAUCUGAGGGGAUACUUUGAAACUGAGACGACAGCACCCUUAAGGAUAAGAAGUUGGCAGCCUCGUUCUCGGUGACUAUCCAUUCUCCGUGUUGAUGGGCAUCGUCAUGGCUCGAGCUGAGCCUACCCUGAAUGAGGCUGUUUUACUCUUCUGGAGGUUGCCAGGUCCAACGAUGCACGUGCUACCAAGCAGGAGGCGCUGGGUGCAGGUCCAGCUAUGCUGCAGAACUCUGCGCAUGCCUGGGAGAGGUAUUUAAUGCGUCUGUCUGGGCCUCUGUGUGAUUAUCCUACGUGGCGGGCAGACUUCAGGGAUAUCCCUUCUUCUGACUCCCACUUCUUUAUCAAGAUUUCUGCCCACCCUCCAGCUGGCAGGCCCCACCUACCCAUCCUCCCACCCACCUGUGCUCCAAGCCUUGAGCACGUUCAAAGGCAGAACAAGAAAAAGAAAAAGUUGCUCUUUGCUGUAUCCUGUGUCUAGACCGUGCCUGCUCAGCCAAGAUUUGCUGAAGGAGCAUCACAGGACCUAACUGCAAUUCCAGCACUUGGGAGGCGGAGCUGGGGAGAUAGAUAAUCAUCAAGCUUGCCUCGCCUCGCCCCCUGCAGGCCACUUUCCACAUGGUAGGCACAGACCUCCUGUUAACCCUCCCAAUGCCAUACAGUCCUGACUCCUUGACUGGAUCCCACUGCAUCUCACUGCCCACUCUGCCCAGACCUGCUGCUGCCUUGCAAAACUCCUACACACUAUAAAGGCACGCACUCACUGUCGUCAGGAACCCUGUCCCCUUGAAAUCCCUACAGCUUGCUCAGCCAUGACCUUGCAGAAUGGCCUUUCCUGACCGUUAUUACUGUGAGCACCAUAUGCCAGUUAUUAUUGAAUAACAAUAGGUUCACAAGAUUUAGCUAUUUCAAGGACAGUGGUUUGUCAUAUAAUACACCUAGCCUAGUAACCUGAUGAGACAAAUGCCUAUUCUUGUUUUCUGGUCUUAAUUAAUAAUAUUAACUCUAACAUCACAUAGCACAAGGCACAUAGGAAAUAUGUCUG